rnacentral:rRNA from 1 species
UACAGAGGGUGCGAGCGUUGUCCGGAAUCACUGGGCGUAAAGGGCGCGUAGGUGGCGCCCCAAGUCCGUGGUGAAAGCUCGAUGCUCAACAUCGAGUCGGCCACGGAAACUGGGGGGCUCGAGCACUGUAGAGGCAGAUGGAAUUCCGGGUGUAGCGGUGGAAUGCGUAGAGGUCCGGAAGAACACCGGUGGCGAAGGCGGUCUGCUGGGCAGUAGCUGACACUGAGGCGCGACAGCGUGGGGGAGCAAACAGG